CCUGGUAGCUCAGUUGGUAAAGAAUCUGCCUGCGGUGCAGGAGACCCGGGUUCGAUCCCCGGGUCAGGA
rnacentral:tRNA from 1 species